AGCUCAGUUGGUAGAGCAUGGUGUUUGCAACGCCAGGGUUGUGGGUUCAAUUCCCAC
rnacentral:tRNA from 1 species